AACCCAUGGUGAGGGCACCUUCUCAAUAGGUCCUUAUACAUUUCCCAUGCAUCGUAUAAAGUCUCUAAAUCCAUCUGCACGAAGGAAGAGAUAUCAUUCCUCAAUUU
rfam:Gossypium hirsutum cultivar TM-1 chromosome 8, whole genome shotgun sequence